rnacentral:rRNA from 1 species
AGCGCAGACGGUUUAUUAAGUCUGAUGUGAAAGCCCGGAGCUCAACUCCGGAAUGGCAUUGGAAACUGGUUAACUUGAGUGCAGUAGAGGUAAGUGGAACUCCAUGUGUAGCGGUGGAAUGCGUAGAUAUAUGGAAGAACACCAGUGGCGAAGGCGGCUUACUGGACUGCAACUGACGUUGAGGCUCAAAAGUGUGGGUAGCAAACA